rnacentral:rRNA from 1 species
AAUGAACGCUGGCGGCAGGCCUAACACAUGCAAGUCGAACGGGUGCCUUCGGGUGCUAGUGGCGGACGGGUGAGUAACGCGUGGGAACAUACCCUUUGGUACGGAAUAGCCUCGGGAAACUGAGAGUAAUACCGUAUGUGCCCUUCGGGGGAAAGAUUUAUCGCCAAAGGAUUGGCCCGCGUUGGAUUAGGUAGUUGGUGGGGUAAUGGCCUACCAAGCCGACGAUCCAUAGCUGGUUUGAGAGGAUGAUCAGCCACACUGGGACUGAGACACGGCCCAGACUCCUACGGGAGGCAGCAGUGGGGAAUCUUAGACAAUGGGGGAAACCCUGAUCUAGCCAUGCCGCGUGAUCGAUGAAGGCCUUAGGGUUGUAAAGAUCUUUCAGAUGGGAAGAUAAUGACGGUACCAUCAGAAGAAGCCCCGGCUAACUCCGUGCCAGCAGCCGCGGU